rnacentral:lncRNA from 1 species
GUGACUUGAAGGGGCCAGAGGAAUAUCAUGUAGACAUAGCAACCCAGAAGCGAUGUUCAAAGAACACAGCCUUUUAAAAGCACUACUUGAGGCUCGUCCAUCAUUUCAACGAAUCUUGAUAAGAACCUCUGAAGAAGAGACAUUCUUGCUUUAUAAACAAGGAAACCAAGCCAUAGCCCCAGAAGCUGGCCCCAGUGGCACGGAAGAGACAGUGGUUGCCAAUCAACCCAUAUCAGCGUUCAUCUCAGACACCUCUCCCUCACCCGCCCUGGUCAGCUCCUUUCACCGAGCUGCCCAUGGCUUUGAGGAUUGCCCCCAGAUGCUGCAAGCACCACCACGAUGUGAAUCCUUGCUGUGUGUCAGUCCUAAUGCUGAGGACUUAUGUCAAUUCAUGUCUUGGGAUGAGGAGAUAGCCCAGUCAGGAGAGUGCUUACCAUGAAGGCAUGGCUUCAGGACCCAUGCCAACGAGCUGGAUGUGGAUGGAGGCUUACAUCUGUGAUCCAAGUGCUGGGGAUGUGGAGACAAGGGGAUCACUAGCAUUUGCUGGCCAGCUGAAUCAGGGAUCUUCAGAUGCAGAGAAAGGCAACGUUGUGAAAGUAAGGCAGCCAGUGACGACUGAAGACACGUGAUCUCAACCUGUGCCCCCUCCCCAAGUCUGUGUCAUUUGAACCCCAGACAGUAUGAUGAAGUGGUCUUUGUCCUUCCUUCCUUACAAACAAGAAAACCAAGGCUUUGUAGUGGCAAUACCACUACCCCACUAGGGUCCAAUGCUUUUUUGCCUGACCCCAAACUCUAGGCCUCCCCUACCUCCACACCUACUCACAGUCUCACCCCUACCAGGUCUCCCAUUCUUCAGUUUUGCACCCAGCAUAUACUAGGCCCA